AGAGUUUGAUCCUGGCUCAGGAUGAACGCUAGCUACAGGCUUAACACAUGCAAGUCGAGGGGCAGCAUGGUCUUAGCUUGCUAAGGCCGAUGGCGACCGGCGCACGGGUGAGUAACACGUAUCCAACCUGCCGUCUACUCUUGGACAGCCUUCUGAAAGGAAGAUUAAUACAAGAUGGCAUCAUGAGUCCGCGUGUUCACAUGAUUAAAGGUAUUCCGGUAGACGAUGGGGAUGCGUUCCAUUAGAUAGUAGGCGGGGUAACGGCCCACCUAGUCUUCGAUGGAUAGGGGUUCUGAGAGGAAGGUCCCCCACAUUGGAACUGAGACACGGUCCAAACUCCUACGGGAGGCAGCAGUGAGGAAUAUUGGUCAAUGGGCGAGAGCCUGAACCAGCCAAGUAGCGUGAAGGAUGACUGCCCUAUGGGUUGUAAACUUCUUUUAUAAAGGAAUAAAGUCGGGUAUGCAUACCCGUUUGCAUGUACUUUAUGAAUAAGGAUCGGCUAACUCCGUGCCAGCAGCCGCGGUAAUACGGAGGAUCCGAGCGUUAUCCGGAUUUAUUGGGUUUAAAGGGAGCGUAGAUGGAUGUUUAAGUCAGUUGUGAAAGUUUGCGGCUCAACCGUAAAAUUGCAGUUGAUACUGGAUAUCUUGAGUGCAGUUGAGGCAGGCGGAAUUCGUGGUGUAGCGGUGAAAUGCUUAGAUAUCACGAAGAACUCCGAUUGCGAAGGCAGCCUGCUAAGCUGCAACUGACAUUGAGGCUCGAAAGUGUGGGUAUCAAACAGGAUUAGAUACCCUGGUAGUCCACACGGUAAACGAUGAAUACUCGCUGUUUGCGAUAUACGGCAAGCGGCCAAGCGAAAGCGUUAAGUAUUCCACCUGGGGAGUACGCCGGCAACGGUGAAACUCAAAGGAAUUGACGG
rnacentral:rRNA from 1 species